rnacentral:rRNA from 1 species
AGAGUUUGAUCCUGGCUCAGGAUGAACGCUGGCGGCGUGCCUAACACAUGCAAGUCGAGCGAACCCUUCGGGGUGAGCGGCGGACGGGUGAGUAACGCGUGGGUAACCUGCCCUGUACACACGGAUAACAUACCGAAAGGUAUGCUAAUACGAGAUAAUAUGUAAUGAUCGCAUGGUCGAUACAUCAAAGCUCCGGCGGUACAGGAUGGACCCGCGUCUGAUUAGCUAGUUGGUGAGGUAAUGGUUCACCAAGGCGACGAUCAGUAGCCGACCUGAGAGGGUGAUCGGCCACAUUGGAACUGAGACACGGUCCAAACUCCUACGGGAGGCAGCAGUGGGGAAUAUUGCACAAUGGGCGAAAGCCUGAUGCAGCAACGCCGCGUGAGCGAUGAAGGCCUUCGGGUCGUAAAGCUCUGUCCUCAAGGAAGAUAAUGACGGUACUUGAGGAGGAAGCCCCGGCUAACUACGUGCCAGCAGCCGCGGUAAUACGUAGGGGGCAAGCGUUAUCCGGAUUUACUGGGUGUAAAGGGAGCGUAGACGGUAUGGCAAGUCUGAAGUGAAAGCCCGGGGCUCAACCCCGGGACUGCUUUGGAAACUGUCGCACUAGAGUGCGGGAGAGGUAAGUGGAAUUCCUAGUGUAGCGGUGAAAUGCGUAGAUAUUAGGAGGAACACCAGUGGCGAAGGCGGCUUACUGGACCGUAACUGACGUUGAGGCACGAAAGCGUGGGGAGCAAACAGGAUUAGAUACCCUGGUAGUCCACGCCCUAAACGAUGAGUACUAAGUGUAGCCGUAAGGCCGUGCUGAAGUUAACGCAUUAAGUACUCCGCCUGAGUAGUACGUACGCAAGUAUGAAACUUAAAGGAAUUGACGGGAGCCCGCACAAGCGGUGGAGCAUGUUGUUUAAUUCGACGAUACGCGAAGAACCUUACCAGGUCUUGACAUCCUUCGCAAAGCUGUAGAGAUAUAGUGGAGGUUAGCGAAGAGACAGGUGGUGCAUGGUUGUCGUCAGCUCGUGUCGUGAGAUGUUGGGUUAAGUCCCGCAACGAGCGCAACCCUUGCCUUUAGUUGCCAGCAUUAAGUUGGGCACUCUAGAGGGACUGCCAGGGAUAACCUGGAGGAAGGUGGGGAUGACGUCAAAUCAUCAUGCCCCUUAUGCUUAGGGCUACACACGUGCUACAAUGGGUGGUACAGAGGGCAGCCAAGUCGUGAGGCGGAGCUAAUCCCUUAAAGCCAUUCUCAGUUCGGAUUGUAGGCUGAAACUCGCCUACAUGAAGCUGGAGUUACUAGUAAUCGCAGAUCAGAAUGCUGCGGUGAAUGCGUUCCCGGGUCUUGCACACACCGCCCGUCA